UACGUAGGCAGCAAGCGUUGUUCGGAGUUACUGGGCGUAAAGGGUGUGUAGGCGGCUUUUUAAGUUUGGUGUGAAAUCUCCCGGCUCAACCGGGAGGUGCGCCGAAUACUGAGAGGCUAGAGUGCGGGAGAGGAAAGUGGAAGUUCCUGGUGUAGCGGUGAAAUGCGUAGAUAUCAGGAGGAACACCGGUGGUGUAGACGGCUUUCUGGACCGUAACUGACGCUGAAACACGAAAGCGUGGGUAGCAAACAGG
rnacentral:rRNA from 1 species